rnacentral:tRNA from 1 species
GGCCGGUUAGCUCAGUGGUUUGAGUGCGGUGCUGACAACACUGAGGUUGCGGGUUGGAUUCCUGCUCUGUCCC